GAGUUUGAUCAUGGCUCAGAUUGAACGCUGGCGGCAUGCCUUACACAUGCAAGUCGAACGGCAGCACGGGAGCUUGCUCCUGGUGGCGAGUGGCGAACGGGUGAGUAAUGCAUCGGAACGUAUCCUGGAGUGGGGGAUAACGUAGCGAAAGUUACGCUAAUACCGCAUAUUCUGUGAGCAGGAAAGCGGGGGACCUUCGGGCCUCGCGCUCUUGGAGCGGCCGAUGUCGGAUUAGCUAGUUGGUGAGGUAAAGGCUCACCAAGGCGACGAUCCGUAGCAGGUCUGAGAGGAUGAUCUGCCACACUGGAACUGAGACACGGUCCAGA
rnacentral:rRNA from 1 species